rnacentral:lncRNA from 1 species
AACGGAGUUAGAGCGGGACCCUUCAACAGUGAGACAUUAUUCUACACAACAACGCUUACGCUGCCGCAGCUGGUGUUCAAGUUCCUCAGGCCGCCCUCGCGCCUUCACCGACGAGUGGCAUUACAGCAAACCAGCUAUAGAUGGCGGUUCUGAGCGAGGCGACGUAGUCUAGAUGGCGCGUCAGUCGCCCCGUUGGCAGUCAGUGUUCGGCCGGCUUGGGACGACGGGCGCGAGCCUCGGUCAGUGACGGAGGCCCGGAAAGGUCAGCGGACGACUGAAAAAAUCGGACAGCUGAUCACUCAGAUCGCCCACGGCUGCUCGUGGUGAUCGCUGCCGUCGUCAGCCGGUGACGAAGCGACCUCGGUGACCCGACCGACCUGCCUCGGGGGUCAGAAGUCUGGUGGUCGCGGCGCGCAUUCUAGGCCAUCCGCUCUUCUUCCAUGGUUAAACGCUUUACCCUGAAUCACGUAGCUCCCGGCUUAUCCCGGGAAAGCUGCAUGCAUCUGUUGUAAGGGACUCACGUGCUCCUGGCGGGGGCCCCGCCCGAGCCUGCACAAACAGUGAAGAGGGGUGUCUGUGCGCGAAGUCUCGGUAUAGGAGGAUUUCCAGACACCUGUAACAUUUUCCCGUCAUUCUCUGCUCUUGUCCAUCCCAUAGUCCUGAACUGGUCAUUACUGGCCGAAAGGGCCCUGAUCCCAACCAAGUCCCACUCAAUAGCAGCCUUCGCCAACCCAUCCUUCUACCCACAGCCAUCGCCCCAUCCUCGCAAUGGGUCUCCACUCAUGCGGUGGCUGCCAGCCAUGGGCCAGUCUGAAAGCCACUCCGGCUGGGAAUCUCGCUGGAGCGCCCGCACGCACCGCGGCGUAGGACCCCUGGGCGUGACAGACAUCGGUGUCGGCGGACCAACACCGCCGGACGGCAGCGCUUAACCCCAUCUCCACCGACCCUGUUUAGCCCAUAGGCUUGACUUUGCCAGUCCAUGGAGAGCGAGCUCACCCCAAGCCGUGCUCACAGUCAUCGGCUGUAAGCACCGCUACAGCCCGGAGGCCGCCGAGCUGGCGGUCCAGCACGAUAACGAACUGCGCCAGGAGCUCCACCCGGCGACAACGGCCAGAAGGGUACACCACGGGUGUCGUGUCCCUGUCUGUGUCACGGGCCAACAGCUAGCCCACGUGCGGGUGGACCGAGAUACGUGGGACUUCUCAGGCAGUUUGUGGAUGGGUUUUGAGAUGGCGUUGAGUAAGGGAUUCAGGUUUGUCAACUGUUCGCCUGCUGCGUCCGGUGUUCUUCACCUCCUGAGUUAGUCCGUAUAGUCAGUCACUUGUGCGUGGCAUUUGAAAUGUUUAAAAACGUAGGAUGAUCUUCUCUGUGUAUGUCACUUAGACGGACGCAGCUGUUGCCAGAACGUAUUCAUUAACGAGUUUGAUACGCGUAGUGCAGAGUAGUCUUAAUGUGCGGAGUACAGUGCAGUGCAGUAUAGUGCGAUGUAGUGCGAAGCGUUGUUGAUGAGAAGAAAAAAAAUGAUUGCGAAGAGUUCAUGUCAGCCCGCCACCUCUGCCGCAUUCUCCUGUUCUUGGGCUGGCGAGUACAGGGGCGUUGCCAGGGUAAGGAGUGUGACGCCAGGCAUCGGGAGGAAAAGGGUCAGGGCAUGUCGCCCCGGUCAUCCAACCGGUGACGCGGCCGGACGAGCCAUCGCUGGAUGCAAUAUAUGCAGGAACGUAUUUCG